UGGGGGAUAGCGGUGGGAAACUGCCAGUAAUACCCCAUGCCCUUGCGGAGUGGCAUUAUUUUGCAAGGAAAGUUACGGCGGUUGAGGAUUGGUGUGCGUCCGAUUAGCUAGUUGGCGGGGUAACGGUCCACCAAGGCGACGAUCGGUAGGGGGUGUGAGAGCAUGGCCCCCCACACGGGUACUGAGACACGGACCCGACUCCUACGGGAGGCAGCAGUAAGGAAUAUUGGACAAUGGGCGGAAGCCUGAUCCAGCCAUGCCGCGUGAAGGAAGAAGGCGCUCAGCGUUGUAAACUUCUUUUGAAUGGGAACAAUAACCUCGACGUGUUCGGGGCUUGAGGGUACCAUUAGAAUAAGCACCGGCUAACUCCGUGCCAGCAGCCGCGGUAAUACGGAGGUGUCGAGCGUUGUCCGGAAUCACUGGGCGUAAAGAGCCCGCAGGCGGCUUGCCAAGUUCGAGGUGAAAUCUCCCGGCUCAACCGGGAGGGUGCCUCGAAAACUGGCAGGCUUGAGGCAGGGAGAGGGAUGUGGAAUUCCCGGUGUAGUGGUGAAAUGCGUAGAUAUCGGGAGGAACACCAGUGGCGAAGGCGGCAUCCUGGCCCUGUCCUGACGCUCAGGGGCGAAAGCGUGGGGAGCAAACCGGAUUAGAUACCCGGGUAGUCCACGCCGUAAACGAUGAGUACUAGGUGUAGGGGGUAUCGACCCCCUCUGUGCCGAAGCUAACGCGAUAAGUACUCCGCCUGGGGACUACGGCCGCAAGGCUAAAACUCAAAGGAAUUGACGGGGGCCCGCACAAGCAGCGGAGCGUGUGGUUUAAUUCGAUGAUACGCGAAGAACCUCAC
rnacentral:rRNA from 1 species